UAGGGAAUCUUCCGCAAUGGGCGAAAGCCUGACGGAGCAACGCCGCGUGAGUGAUGAAGGUCUUCGGAUCGUAAAACUCUGUUAUUAGGGAAGAACAAAUGUGUCAGUAACUAUGCACGUCUUGACGGUACCUAAUCAGAAAGCCACGGCUAACUACGUGCCAGCAGCCGCGGUAAUACGUAGGUGGCAAGCGUUAUCCGGAAUUAUUUGGCGUAAAGCGCGCGUAGGCGGUUUUUUAAGUCUGAUGUGAAAGCCCACGGCUCAACCGUGGAGGGUCAUUGGAAACUGGAAAACUUGAGUGCAGAAGAGGAAAGUGGAAUUCCAUGUGUAGCGGUGAAAUGCGCAGAGAUAUGGAGGAACACCAGUGGCGAAGGCGACAUUCUGGUCUGUAACUGACGCUGAUGUGCGAAAGCGUGGGGAUCAAACAGG
rnacentral:rRNA from 1 species